rnacentral:lncRNA from 1 species
CAUUUCUCCUGGUUAGCACUAGUACAGACCCACUCUCAGCCUCCAGCCUCUUCUCAUUCCCCACCACAGUGCUCAGGAAUUGAAACCCCCAAAGCAAGAGGAACCACGUGACCAAGAAACGUGUUUCCUAAGGAAAAAACAGACCUCCAUGCUGCCUAAGUCAAAGAAGCCCUCACAGAAUCACAGGUUGUGGCUGAUUUCAUUUUAAAUGGGGCAAAGGGGAAGGCCGUUUUUAGAUAGCAAAAUUAAAUAGUGUUCAAAAAGCAUAGGCUGUAUCUGUGUACCCUACCUGCUCGUUUCUAUGUUAAAAAAUAAUAAUAAUGAUGUGUCCACUGAGGAUGUUGGUGGCAUGGUCCAUAAAAUCUGGAAAGUGGCAAUCCAACAUGAUAAAUUGUGUCAUUAUUGGAAGGGGCUACAAUAUUAUUCUAACUCUUGGUUCUCACCACUUCACUCAUUCAUUAAUCCAUCAAUUCAUACUCUGUAUUAAGAGGCAGCUGGUUCGCUUAACUCUCUGUGAUUUUUAUAUUUAAACGUUGAGCAAAACUGUUGGACAAUAAAUUAUAAACCCCCUGUUAUAAAUCAGUUUCAUUUUAAAAAUACAGUGAGGGCAUUUUCGACGCAACCUCACAAUUUUGCUAAAGUGUAUUCUAGACACAAUAAAUACUAAUGAAACUUCAUGAAAACUAUAGGCCUAAAGAAUUGAAGAGUCGGUAUUGUGACUCUCUCCCAACCCCCGCCCUCCCCCCCCCCCA